UAGCCGUAAACGAUACUCGCUAGGUGUCGGCCACGGUGCGACCGUUGUCGGUGCCGUAGGGAGCCGUGAAGCGAGCCACCUGGGAAGUACGGCCGCAAGGCUGAAACUUAAAGGAAUUGGCGGGGGAGCACAACAACGGGUGGAGCUUGCGGUUUAAUUGGAUUCAACGCCGGAAAUCUUACCGGGACCGACAGCAACAUGAAGGCCAAGCUGAAGACUUUGCCGGAUUAGCUGAGAGGUGGUGCAUGGCGUAGUCGUGU
rnacentral:rRNA from 1 species